rnacentral:rRNA from 1 species
CCUACGGGUGGCAGCAGUGGGGAAUAUUGGACAAUGGGCGAAAGCCUGAUCCAGCCAUGCCGCGUGUGUGAAGAAGGCCUUCGGGUUGUAAAGCACUUUCAGUGGGGAAGAAAGCCUUGGGGCUAAUACCCUCGAGGAAGGACAUCACCCACAGAAGAAGCACCGGCUAACUCCGUGCCAGCAGCCGCGGUAAUACGGAGGGUGCGAGCGUUAAUCGGAAUUACUGGGCGUAAAGCGCGCGUAGGCGGUCUGAUAAGCCGGUUGUGAAAGCCCCGGGCUCAACCUGGGAACGGCAUCCGGAACUGUCAGGCUAGAAUGAAGGGGAGGAAGGUAGAAUUCCCGGUGUAGCGGUGAAAUGCGUAGAGAUCGGGAGGAAUACCAGUGGCGAAGGCGGCCUACUGGUCUGACACUGACGCUGAGGGGCGAAAGCGUGGGUAGCAAACAGGAUUAGAUACCCCGGUAGUC